rnacentral:rRNA from 1 species
GGCUGGCGGAGCUACCAUGCAGUCGAGCGGCAGCACGGGGAGCUUGCUCCCUGGUGGCGAGCGGCGGACGGGUGAGUAAUGCAUAGGAAUCUGCCCGGUAGUGGGGGAUAACGUGGGGAAACCCACGCUAAUACCGCAUACGUCCUACGGGAGAAAGCGGAGGAUCUUCGGACUUCGCGCUAUCGGAUGAGCCUAUGUCGGAUUAGCUAGUUGGUAAGGUAAUGGCUUACCAAGGCGACGAUCCGUAGCUGGUCUGAGAGGAUGAUCAGCCACACUGGGACUGAGACACGGCCCAGACUCCUACGGGAGGCAGCAGUGGGGAAUAUUGGACAAUGGGCGAAAGCCUGAUCCAGCCAUGCCGCGUGUGUGAAGAAGGCUUUCGGGUUGUAAAGCACUUUCAGCGAGGAAGAAGGCCUCUGGGUUAAUACCCCAGAGGAAGGACAUCACUCGCAGAAGAAGCACCGGCUAACUCCGUGCCAGCAGCCGCGGUAAUACGGAGGGUGCGAGCGUUAAUCGGAAUUACUGGGCGUAAAGCGCGCGUAGGUGGCUUGGCACGCCGGUUGUGAAAGCCCCGGGCUCAACCUGGGAACGGCAUCCGGAACGGCCAGGCUAGAGUGCAGGAGAGGAAGGUAGAAUUCCCGGUGUAGCGGUGAAAUGCGUAGAGAUCGGGAGGAAUACCAGUGGCGAAGGCGGCCUUCUGGCCUGACACUGACACUGAGGUGCGAAAGCGUGGGUAGCAAACAGGAUUAGAUACCC